UGUAAUAGUUAAAACUUUCAACAACGGAUCUCUUGGUUCUGGCAUCGAUGAAGAACGCAGCGAAAUGCGAUAAGUAAUGUGAAUUGCAGAAUUCAGUGAAUCAUCGAAUCUUUGAACGCACAUUGCGCCCCUUGGUAUUCCGAGGGGCAUGCCUGUUCGAGCGUCAUUAACAACCCUCAAGCACUAGCUUGGUCUUGGGCUCCGCUGGCAGCAGCGGGCCUUAAAAUCAGUGGCGGUGCCGUCGGGCCCUGAGCGUAGUAAAUCUCCUCGCUACAGGGUCCCGGUGGACGCUGGCCAUCAACCCCCACUCUCUCAGUUUGACCUCGGAUCAGGUAGGGAUACCCGCUGAACUUAA
rnacentral:sRNA from 1 species